UCAAGCUAGACUGCUAUGGUCAUAGAUCUAAUAGUGGAUGGAGGUUAGUCAAGCUAGACUGUUAUGGUCAUAGAUCUAAUAGUGGAUGGAGGUUAGUCAAGCUAGACUGCUAUGGUCAUAGAUCUAAUAGUGGAUGGAGGUUAGUCAAGCUAGACUGCUAUGGUCAUAGAUCUAAUAGUGGAUGGAGGUUAGUCAAGCUAGACUGCUAUGGUCAUAGAUCUAAUAGUGGAUGGAGGUUAGUCAAGCUAGACUGCUAUGGUCAUAGAUCUAAUAGUGGAUGGAGGUUAGUCAAGCUAGACUGCUAUGGUCAUAGAUCUAAUAGUGGAUGGAGGUUAGUCAAGCUAGACUGUUAUGGUCAUAGAUCUAAUAGUGGAUGGAGGUUAGUCAAGCUAGACUGCUAUGGUCAUAGAUCUAAUAGUGGAUGGAGGUUAGUCAAGCUAGACUGUUAUGGUCAUAGAUCUAAUAGUGGAUGGAGGUUAGUCAAGCUAGACUGCUAUGGUCAUAGAUCUAAUAGUGGAUGGAGGUUAGUCAAGCUAGACUGCUAUGGUCAUAGAUCUAAUAGUGGAUGGAGGUUAGUCAAGCUAGACUGCUAUGGUCAUAGAUCUAAUAGUGGAUGGAGGUUAGUCAAGCUAGACUGCUAUGGUCAUAGAUCUAAUAGUGGAUGGAGGUUAGUCAAG